CCUUGCCUGAGGCUGUUUCCUCUUCUGUAAAACUGGAGGAGCAGCCCAUACAGCACACUCAAGGAAGGGGAUUCCAGGAGUUGGCAUCAAUAAUCCUGCCCAGCACUUAACAGCUCUCAAGGAGCCAACCGUGGGCCAUCCCCUCAAACACUGCUCCUGGCUCCACUGCUGGAUCCUUGGUGUAAAUCACCCUGACUCCUCAGUGGGCAUCUUCAAGGUCUUCCAGGGAAAGGCACAUUCCCCACAGGCCUGGGGCCCUCCUCCCUGGCCCUGCCCCGAUGUGAGGCAACCCUUAGGAAAAGCAGCAGGGUGGCAGGGGCCGAGGAGACCAGAGGGACCCAGGAAGGCAGAGGGGUCUUGGCUGCCUUAGGCCAAGACUGGCAGGUGGAGCAUGGGCCAGGCACUUGGGAGCACAGCAGGUGCGCAGCCCUGACUUUCACCUGGAGCUUCUGAAGAUGCGGCGCCAGCUGCAAGCCCUUCUCUGGAGGAAGAGGCAGCUUCCGGGUGUCUCCAGGAUAUUUGCCUCAAGCCUCACACCUGCUGGGUGAGAAUGACCAAAGGCAAAACUGAUGCCCUGGAACACACACUGGACAAAUUCAGGGCUCCUUCCUGGCCCCUGCAAGAUUAGCCAGCAGGCCCAAGACUGGAUACAGCUGCUGGGCAAACUUACACCAUUCGAUGACUUUAAAAAUAUUCAAGAGCAAGCAAAGCACUGUAAUCAGUGAUAAGAGCAUAGCAGUCACCCCCACAGGCCAGGUGGAAGCCUCGUCACCACUUACUCACUGUGUGACCUUGGGCAGUUUAAUUAACAUCUCUAAGCCUCAAAGUCCCAUGUCUGAAAUGCAGAUCCUGAUAGCACCUACCUCAGAGGUUUGUGGUGAGGAUUAAAUGAUAAUCCAUGAAAAAUGCCUGGCCUAAUAAACA
rnacentral:lncRNA from 10 species